CCUACGGGUGGCAGCAGUGGGGAAUAUUGCACAAUGGGGGAAACCCUGAUGCAGCGACGCCGCGUGAGUGAAGAAGUAAUUCGUUACGUAAAGCUCUAUCAGCAGGGAAGAAAUACUGACCUUACGGUCAGCAGACGGUACCUGAGUAAGAAGCCCCGGCUAACUACGUGCCAGCAGCCGCGGUAAUACGUAGGGGGCAAGCGUUAUCCGGAUUUACUGGGUGUAAAGGGAGCGUAGACGGGGCGCCAAGUCUGGAGGGAAAUGCCGCAGCUUAACUGCGGAACUGCUUUGGAAACUGGCGAACUAGAGUGCGGGAGGGGUAAGCGGAAUUCCUAGUGUAGCGGUGAAAUGCGUAGAUAUUAGGAGGAACACCGGUGGCGAAGGCGGCUUACUGGACCGUAACUGACGUUGAGGCUCGAAAGCGUGGGGAGCAAACAGGAUUAGAUACCCCAGUAGUC
rnacentral:rRNA from 1 species